GAGGGUAUAGCUCAGUGGUAGAGCACAUGCUUAGCAUGCACAAGGUCCUGGGCUCAACCCCAGUACCUCCA
rnacentral:tRNA from 1 species